rnacentral:rRNA from 1 species
GGGUUGUGAGGUUAAGCGACUAAGCGUACACGGUGGAUGCCCUGGCAGUCAGAGGCGAUGAAGGACGUGCUAAUCUGCGAUAAGCGCCGGUAAGGUGAUAUGAACCGUUAUAACCGGCGAUUUCCGAAUGGGGAAACCCAGUGUGAUUCGUCACACUAUCAUUAACUGAAUCCAUAGGUUAAUGAGGCGAACCGGGGGAACUGAAACAUCUAAGUACCCCGAGGAAAAGAAAUCAACCGAGAUUCCCCCAGUAGCGGCGAGCGAACGGGGAGGAGCCCAGAGCCUGAAUCAGCAUAUGUGUUAGUGGAAGCGUCUGGAAAGGCGCGCGAUACAGGGUGACAGCCCCGUACACAAAAGCGCAUGUGCUGUGAGCUCGAUGAGUAGGGCGGGACAC